ensembl:ncRNA T06F4.4 ncRNA
UUUGACACACGCACGCGAUGUAAAGAUGGAUUGAUUCUAACACUCUCGGCUUUUGAACAGCGUGCCAAUCGGAAUCCGAAUCGUGCACAAAAAAAUCACGAGCCGAG